ACGGUGGUAGUGCAACGGUUCAGCACAUGCCCCCGAAAAAGUGAAAUCUGGGUUCGAAUCCCAGCUGCCGCA